rnacentral:tRNA from 1 species
GAUUGUGGCUCAGUGGUAAAGCACUCACCUAGCAUGUGUGAGACCCUGGGUUUGAUCCUCAGCACUACA